CCUACGGGGGGCUGCAGUGAGGAAUAUUGGUCAAUGGCCGGAAGGCUGAACCAGCCAUGCCGCGUGAAGGUCAGUGCCCUAUGGGCGUUAAACUUCUUUUGUGCGGGAGCAAUAAUGGUCACGUGUGGCCAGACGAGAGUACCGUACGAUUAAGCAUCGGCUAACUCCGUGCCAGCAGCCGCGGUAAUAUGGGGAUGCCAGCGUUAACCGGAAUUAUUGGGUAUAAAGGGUGCGUAGGCCGUGAUGUAAGUUAGCUGUGAAAUGCCCCCGCUCAACGGGGUGAAGUGCCAUUGAGACUGCGUUGCUGGAGUGCGGAUGCCGUGGGAGGAAUGUGUGGUGUAGCGGUGAAAUGCAUAGAUAUCACACAGAACACCGAUUGCGAAGGCAUCUCACGAAUCCGCGAUUGACGCUGAUGCACGAAAGCGUGGGUAUCAAACAGGAUUAGAUACCCUAGUAGUC
rnacentral:rRNA from 1 species